GAUGAACGCUGGCGGCGUGCCUAAUACAUGCAAGUCGAGCGAACCACUUCGGUGGUGAGCGGCGAACGGGUGAGUAACACGUAGGUUAUCUGCCCAUCAGACGGGGACAACGAUUGGAAGCGAUCGCUAAUACCGGAUAGGACGAAAGUUUAAAGGUGCUUCGGCACCACUGAUGGAUGAGCCUGCGGCGCAUUAGCUAGUUGGGAGGGUAAAGGCCUACCAAGGCGACGAUGCGUAGCCGACCUGAGAGGGGGAACGGCCACACUGGGACUGAGACACGGCCCGGACUCCUACGGGAGGCAGCAGUAGGGAAUCUUCGGCAAUGGGCGAAAGCCUGACCGAGCAACGCCGCGUGAAUGAUGAAGGCAUUCGGGUUGUAAAAUUCUGUUAUAAGGGAAGAAUAGCUCUAGUAGGAAAUGGCUAGAGUGUGACGGUACCUUAUGAGAAAGCCACGGCUAACUACGUGCCAGCCGCCGCGGUAAAAC
rnacentral:rRNA from 1 species